GCGUCGGUAGUGCAGCGAUUCAGUACGCGCUCGCCCAGAGUGAAAUAUGGGUUCGAAUCCCAGCUGACGCG